rnacentral:tRNA from 1 species
GGGCGGUUAGCUCAGCCGGUUAGAGCGCAUGCUUCACACGCAUGAGGUCGGAGGUUCGAGCCCUCCAUCGCCCACCA